rnacentral:rRNA from 1 species
UACGUAGGGAGCAAGCGUUGUUCGGAUUUACUGGGCGUAAAGGGUGCGUAGGCGGGUCUUUAAGUCAGGGGUGAAAUCCUGGAGCUCAACUCCAGAACUGCCUUUGAUACUGAGGAUCUUGAGUCCGGGAGAGGUGAGUGGAACUGCGAGUGUAGAGGUGAAAUUCGUAGAUAUUCGCAAGAACACCAGUGGCGAAGGCGGCCGACUGGACCAUUACUGACGCUGAGGCGCGAAAGCGUGGGGAGCAAACAGG